ensembl:lncRNA
CAGCGAGGCGCCAAGGGCCGUGGUUCAAGGCAUGUACGUGACUACACAACGUCGACUACACUGUAGCACUUCCUGUUGUGUGAGAUCUGCAAAGGGACUUCUUAGAACUAGAAGCACAUGUUAGCAUUGAAUCGCUGAAGAAGUUGUUUUGUACCGUUGCAGUCUGUUAGUAUCUGAUAAACAUUCUAACCCAGCCGUGUUCUGUCAACAUGUGACUGUUUGAAGCUGGAUCAGACAAAGGGAGCAGGCUGGACAUCAGACCUUUGAUCUGUGUGUGUGUGUGUGUGUAAAAGUGAGGGAGUGUGUUUUUAUAUUAAAGAGUGGGAUGCUUGAGAGAGGAAAGGGACAAGUAAAAACAGGCCUUUUGAUCCAAACCUUGGAUGAAGAGAGGAGUGUUUGUGUACGUGUCUCUCUCUCUGUGUGUGCGUAAGAUACCGUUGACACGAUCAUUGAAACUGCUGCUUUGAGUUUUUAAGUGCAAAUGAGGGGGAAAACACAUUGUGGACCAUACUUGGAAAUGGAAAUAAAACAACUGUAACGUUGUGGUAGAAUCCAGGGGAGACAAUUUGGAAAUUGUGGUGAAAUGUCAAUUGACCUGACGACUGGAAAAUGAAUGAACAUCAUACAUUUAAUGCGCCGCUUGAUAGAUCCUUGGCAUCGUGGACACGUUGAGUAGUAAUUGCUGGAAAAGCAAUGGUGUAUGUCGUAAUCCUGGCUGCAUACCAUUUAGUAUGCAGACCGUCCAUCAGUACCAUUUAGGUCUGCUGCAUUUUGGCACAUAAUAUUUUGUAUUGUAGCUCACUGGCUAACCAUACUGGAUAAUCUAAAUGUAGCAGAGUCACGUUGGUACAUAUCCUCAGCCAAAAUAUGACAGAAUUCCAGUUGCUCUAUUGACAUGCCUGGCUAAAAGGCAAGUAGAAGUAGACUUUUCCCACCAACAAAAAAAGAGAUUCAAACCAGCAACCUUAUGCCGCAUUGCUUUUACAGCGAGAGAAGUCUAUUUUUGUGUUUCAGAGGCAAUGAGGACCAGAAAUAUUAGACUGCUCAGAGAGAGCUGGGUCAUUUUCACCCAGCUUUAUCCAAUUGGCACUCUCAGUCAGUCGGAAUCCAUUCCCUUAACAUUGGCUUCGACAUGCAUCAUACUGCAGCGUGCGCACACAUACCAACUCCAUUUCCACGGGAACAUUGUGUGUGUGUGUGAGACGCCAUUUGUACUGGUUUUGUUGUCAGCAAGGGAAAUAAGCAUUUUCAUCAUACUGUUGUCCCAUUCUGUUUUAAAGUGAUAUCAGGACGUCAUUAAGAGCCGACCCAUUCUAUUCUGUUCUACUGCAUUCAGUCCCUCGACAUCAAAGAGAUUGAUGGUGCAAACAUUAGAUACGUCUCUCCCGGCUCUAAAUUACACUUCAGGAACAAACUGCACAGAAGAAGGAACAAACCAUAAGCUCCCAGCUUUGCCUCUCUGAUG